CACAGGGGCAAGUGCUCUCUGUAGUCCGGCUUCAGCCUGCCUUUUAGUGUUCUUGCUGACUUUUCUCUUGUACCUUCUAAUUUUUUUGUAGCCAUUGCCAGAUGAUAUCUAUUAAACCUUAAUAGUUGAAGUAUUCCUAUUUAUUAUACCAGUGCAUCAUGUAUAUAUAUACCUUAACAGUUGAACAGUCAGCUCUGUGGAUGAUAUCUACUUUGUAUUAUUUAAGUUACCUUAGCACGUCAUCAUUUUCAUGAAUGUACUUCGUAUUAUAUUAGUUUUAUUAGCCCAUCGUCAUUUUCAGUGAACUAUGCUUUGACAUUUGACUUUCCUUUUUGUUAUAGAUCAUCACAAAAGUGGCUGCUACUAAUGGAGUGAGACGUGUUUGGGUUGGACAACACAGCUUCUUGUCUAUUCCAGCUGCAUCUGCUAUAAUCUGAGAAAGAAUCGCUGCUGAUGUAAGUUCCUUUUCUCCCAAAGUGCCCAUUUGUUGUACGGACCAUUGCAGUAGCUUCAUAAAAGUGGAUCACAUGUCUAGCAAGCCCCAUACUUCUAAUUAUCUGUUACAGUUCAUGGGUGUUUGCUGGUCGUAGAAUUCUAUGUUAUUGCUACAUAUUUACUGGAUUACAACGCAUCAUGUUCUUUGUUCUAAAGCAUUCGGCUGUACUUUGUUAUGUGUUUCAGUACAGUACUUCAGCUGUUGUUGGGACCAAUUUUCAGAUUGUGAACAUGCUAGCCAGGAUGGAAAUCUGCUUUUUGCAUGAACAGAUACGUAAUAUCCUCGUUAUCAGUUUUUUGGCAUGAUUUUCUCUAUCUACACAUGCAUAAAUAAUGCCAUGUACCUUAGUCUCACUCGUUUUUCAUGCUUCUAUUUAGUCUUUUUAAUUCUGUUACAUCUUAUGAAAUGGAGUAUAGUUCUAGCUGAUAAUUAUUCUUAGGAGAAUGAUUUCUAAAAUUCUCUUUUGUUUGAUCAUUUCCUACUAUUGAGUUUAUCAAACCUACAAUUAUUUGUUCUUUUUUGUUUUUGGUGAUCUGCAUGGACUCGCCAAGGAAAAUGACCCCAUGGUAACAUAUUGAGGAACAAAUUAAAGAUAAGAUCUGCAUCUUUUUAUUGUGGCAGUAUUAUUUUCCGAGAAACCAGAUUUGCGAAACAUAUAUGCUAGCAAUUACGAAUGUUUCAAUUUGUAAGGAGCACUUGUUUUUUUCUCUAAACAAUAUAUUACUCACAUGAUCCCCUGUUUUUUGUUUUGCGUUUUGCGGUUAGCUUUCUGUCUUGGGAAGGUUCUUAAAGCAAGGAUUGAUAUUUGGUUUAGUAUCAGUUGCCCUUUCCAUUGGAUUACGUAUACACAGAUCCUGAGCACAAGUUCCAAGAAGGAUGCGCAGCCUGGUCGAAAAAAAAACUUUGCUACCAGGCUGGAAAGAUAAACUGGACUUGAUAGCAGAGGACACAUCGGUUAGAAACAAUUCCUGGCUUCUUGUGUUUGCUUCAACUUGGGUCCGCAUAGAAGUGAAGAAUAAGUGUGUGUCUGUAGAAUUGAAAGAUAACAUUAGUAGUGUAGUUUCUGGUCAGUGCAAUGGAUGAAUUAGUGUGUGUAAUUUAUGUGUUUCAGUGACAAUUUAUUUUCAGCAUGGUGAUAUAUACUUUGUAAUUUCAGUAUGUACU